rnacentral:rRNA from 1 species
AUUGAACGCUGGCGGCGUGCUUAACACAUGCAAGUCGAUCGGUAACGCGGGGGCAACCCUGGCGACGAGAGGCGGACGGGUGAGGAACGCUUGGGAAUCUGCCUAUCAGCGGGGGACAACACGGGGAAACUCGUGCUAAUACCGCAUACGCUCUACGGAGGAAAGCCGGGGACCGCAAGGCCUGGCACUGAAAGAUGAGCCCAAGCCGGAUUAGCUAGUUGGCGGGGUAACGGCCCACCAAGGCGACGAUCCGUAGCUGGUCUGAGAGGACGAUCAGCCACACUGGAACUGAGACACGGUCCAGACUCCUACGGGAGGCAGCAGUGGGGAAUAUUGGACAAUGGGGGAAACCCUGAUCCAGCGACGCCGCGUGGGUGAAGAAGGCCUGCGGGUUGUAAAGCCCUUUCGGUAGGGACGAAAGCUCUCGACCUAACACGUCGGGAGGUUGACUUAACCUACAGAAGAAGCACCGGCUAACUCUGUGCCAGCAGCCGCGGUAACAC